UAUUGGGCAAUGCCCGCAAGGGUGACCCAGCAACGCCGCGUGGAGGAUGAAGGCCGUAAGGUUGUAAACUCCUGUUAGAGGGGAAGAAUAAUUCCGAUCGACUCGGAACUUGACUGUACCCUCAGAGAAAGCCCCGGCUAACUACGUGCCAGCAGCCGCGGUAAUACGUAGGGGGCAAGCGUUGUCCGGAUUUACUGGGUGUAAAGGGCGCGCAGGUGGGUUCGCAAGUCAGAGGUGAAAUCUCACGGCUUAACCGUGAAAGUGCCUUUGAUACUGUGAAUCUUGAGUUCGGAAGAGAGAGACGGAAUUCCAGGUGUAGUGGUGGAAUACGUAGAUAUCUGGAAGAACACCAGUUGCGAAGGCGGUCUCUUGGUCCGAUACUGACACUCAGGCGCGAAAGCGUGGGUAGCAAACAGG
rnacentral:rRNA from 1 species